UAACUUUGGGCAAUCUGCCCUCGAGAGGGAAACAACCUGCCGAAAGGUGGGCUAAUAUCCCGUAAGACCACAGGAUGGCAUCAUCUAGGGGUCAAAGCUCCGCAAGGGGCGCUUGAGGAGGAGCCUGAGGCCUAUCAUGGUAGUUGGCGGGGUAACGGCCCACCAAGCCUUUGACGGGUAGCCGGCCUGAAAGGGUGAUCGGCCACACUGGCACUGAGACACGGGCCAG
rnacentral:rRNA from 1 species